rnacentral:rRNA from 1 species
UACGUAGGUGGCAAGCGUUGUCCGGAUUUACUGGGCGUAAAGGGCGUGCAGGCGGUCUGUUAAGUUCAGGGUGAAAGCUCCCGGCUCAACUGGGAGAGGUCCUUGGAUACUGGCAGACUUGAGGGAGGUAGAGGAGAGUGGAAUUCCCGGUGUAGUGGUGAUAUGCGUAGAUAUCGGGAGGAACACCAGUGGCGAAGGCGGCCUCUCGUGGGACGGUACUGACGCUGAGACGCGAAAGCGUGGGGAGCGAACAGG